rnacentral:tRNA from 1 species
GGGGUUUUAGCUCAGCGGUAGAGCACCGGACAUUUGUCCGGAGGUCGUGGGUUCGACUCCCGCAAACUUCA